rnacentral:rRNA from 1 species
UACGUAGGGGCAAGCGUUUGUCCGGAAUCAUUGGGCGUAAAGGGCGCGUAGGCGGGUUUCCAAGUCGGGGUGAAAUUCCAGGGCUCAACCCUGGGACGGCCUUUCGAUACUGGGAGCCUGGAGAUCGGGAGAGGUGAGUGGAAUUUCCGAGUGUAGAGGUGAAAUUCGUAGAUAUUUGGAGGAACAUCAGUGGCGAAAGCGGCUUCCUGGUCCAGCACCGACGUUCAGGCACGAAAGCGUGGGAGCAAACAGG